ensembl:lncRNA
ACUGCCCCGGAGCGGAACGCGUGUACGACCCGAGAGCGCAACAUGUCUGGAGCGCGUGGGGCAGAUGCCGUCCACCUCACCUGCUUCUUCCGGACACCAAGCGGGGACCAUGCCGGCGGACAGAUGUGGCGCCUCACGUGGAUUGUAUUUGUUUCCCUGUUUAUUUACGGCACAUCAGCACAAGGGCUCCUUGAGGGCUUCAAGGAGCUCCACAGAACCGAGGAAACGUUUUGCUCAAAUUCGGAAGACAUUUUAUGAGAUUUGUUUGCGAGCAUUUGGACAGCCCCAUAUUUGAUCAUUAAUUGAGAAG